rnacentral:lncRNA from 1 species
ACUGGACAGAGUGUGGUGUGGAGUGGGGCAGGGCUUGCGGGUUGUGCGGUGGCAUGCAUGCAAAGGGAAUGACUGCGGGCGGGGGUAUGGUGAAACGGAAUCGGCGUUGUCAUGUUGCCACACAAUUUGAGGUACACCGAUGCUGCUGCCGCGGCCACAUAGGUGAUGCCAUUAUCGUUAGCCAUUGCAUAAAUAUGCCACGAACACACAUAACUAUUCCAGAGAUACGCUGAUUACCGACAGACGGACAUCUCCAUUGGCCGCUUCGAGGGCCCUCCAUCUGUCUGGAUGGGGCUGGCAUUGCUCGAUGCAGUCAAUUGCCGCGUGAUGUUAAUUGAUUUUUAAGUGGCGUGUCCUAUGGCUAACUGCAAUCAGACACACGAAUUAUUAUAAUGCGCCAACGAGCAAAAACCGUCAAGGUAAUCAAUAAUAAAAAGGUUACAGGCAAGGACACAGCUCGACUGUGUGCUACCCUGUGCCUAAACGGCAGCUAAUAGAUUUGGGCAUCCGCUGGAUCGUUAGUUAUGUAUUAGGGCAGGUUAAUUGAAUCGGCCGAACUAUGCCUGGGGUCGGACCGUAAUCCCUGAUUGAUUUCGAUUGUUAAACACGCUUCAACAGAGAGCCCGUGACAGAGUUUCCGUUUACCCUCCACCGGCCCUUCCGGGCAUGUCCAUCCGGUAUAAUCACAUUUAAUGUUGAAUGCACUUCAUUUUUUGCCCCAACUAAAUGCCAAUUAAAAUUCGUAAUUAUUUUUUAAUGGCAUUUUGUGGUCAAUAUCCGAUGAAUGAUUGAACAGUUGAAAGUACUCUAUGGUGCGGUGAGGCGGUGGUCCGUUUUGGGUUUGGCAAUGUUGACGGGAUGCCGUCGUGACGCUUCACAUUUAUGACGAGCAAAUGGCCAAUAUCAAUAUCAAUUGCAUGACUUGCCAAACUGGCGCCAGUCUAAAAGUGCCCUUACACAUGGUCCCAGGCAAGGCGUCAUCGUCAUCAUCAUCAUCAUCAUCAUCAUCGUGUAAGGAGAAACCCCCCAAUGGAAUGGUGGUAAAACUUACAAGCAAUUGCAGCAUGAGUACAAAAACUACAAGAAAUUGCAAUAAGAACCUUUGUCGGAGUGCCGGAGCCAGUGGCCCCGCAGCAAUUGACCUGCUCAAUGAAAUUCAAGCAAUCAUCACUAUCAACAUUUCGUUUCGUUUCGAUUCGAUUCGAUUGGACACGCUACAACAUGCCACCGCACAUGCC